CACCCAGACUCCUACGGGAGGCAGCAGUGGGGGAUAUUGCACAAUGGGGGAAACCCUGAUGCAGCGACGCCGCGUGAGUGAAGAAGUAAUUCGUUACGUAAAGCUCUAUCAGCAGGGAAGAAAAUGACGGUACCUGACUAAGAAGCCCCGGCUAACUACGUGCCAGCAGCCGCGGUAAUACGUAGGGGGCAAGCGUUAUCCGGAAUUACUGGGUGUAAAGGGAGCGCAGACGGCAGUGCAAGUCUGGAGUGAAAGCCCGGGGCUUAACUACGGGACUGCUCUGGAAACUGUGCAGCUAGAGUGCAGGAGAGGCAGGCGGAAUUCCUAGUGUAGCGGUGAAAUGCGUAGAUAUUAGGAGGAACACCAGUGGCGAAGGCGUCUUACUGGACCGAAACUGACGUUGAGGCUCGAAAGCGUGGGGAGCAAACAGGAUUAGAUACCCUGGUAGC
rnacentral:rRNA from 1 species